UACGGAGGAUCCAAGCGUUGUCCGGAUUUAUUGGGUUUAAAGGGUGCGUAGGCGGAUGAUUAAGUCAGUGGUGAAAGCCGGCAGCUCAACUGUCGAACUGCCAUUGAAACUGAUCGUCUUGAAUCUAGUAGAGGUAGGCGGAAUGUAUCAUGUAGCAGUGAAAUGCUUAGAUAUGAUACAGAACACCAAUUGCGAAAGCAGCUUACUAUGCUAGUAUUGACGCUGAGGCACGAAAGCGUGGGGAUCAAACAGG
rnacentral:rRNA from 1 species